rnacentral:lncRNA from 1 species
CUUAUGGAUUUAAAGACAGAGAUGAGAAGCUGAGAGGUCCCACUGGGCAUGCCAAAUUUGUAAACACGAAAAAUUAUGUAACAAAUGAAGCAAGAACAUGUAUACAAAGUAGAUUUGUAUUGAUGAAUUUGUAGGGCUACAAUCUCUGUUUACAAUUUUCCUCUUAUUCAAUCUUCAAUUUUGAUGUAGAUGCGUAGGUUGUUGAUCCAAGGGUCACGAUGACUUGAUCUUAGAUGAACAAUUGAAUGAUUGCUUCAAGUUUGGAGCUUGAAACAAUGCGUGGAUAGUCUUCACCUCACAGUUGCGGCAAAGGUAGUGUUGAUGUAGGAUUUCGUUAAUUCAAGGGUCUUUGCAACUUGAUCAUGAAUCGAACGUCGUUACAAGUUUUAAGCUUGCAACAAAGUCUUGAAAGAAUCGGCACAAGUGUUUGUUGAUUCUUCAAGGAAAUACUUCGGCUUUGGUCGAAGAAAACUUCAACUUAGGUUGUAUGUUCUUUGAAGAAAGCUUUAGCAGUGUAUUAGUUUUCAAAGAUUUGGCAGAGAUUCUCCUUUUGUGAGAAUUUCGGCCCUUCAAUGUAGAAAUUGUCGACCUUUAUGCUUGUCUGGGGACCUUGUAUUUAUAGACUUCUCAAAGCUUGCCUUUGGAUGAAUUUGGCUUUGAUUUGUGUCUUAAUUCGUCCAUGGGAGAAUUUAGGCAUGUUUUGUGUCUUAAUUUCAGCCACUUUCCCUUGCUUGGCCGAAAUCUAUAAAGCUUUCUUGCCUAUUUUGCGAGCAAUCUUCAAUUUUUGCUUGUUUUGUGAAUAUGUUUUAGCUUUCUUUCCGAUUUUGGGAGCAAUUUGGGCCCCUUGCCAAUUUUAAGGAGAUUUCUUCUUUUUGGCCGAAUUUUGGGGAAGUUUUGAGCUUCCUUUACUUGAUUUGUGCAACAUGUCAUUGAUGACUUGUCCAUUUGUGAUGAGUCAUAUGCCACGUGGAGCUUUGUGAUGCAUCAUUUGCAUGCAACGAAAUUUACAUGUCUACAUCUAUAUGAAAAAAUUCCUAAAUUUGCUUAACUCUGUUACAUACACUUAAUUAUGUACUUAUUGAUUUCCGAUAUGUUUCAAUUGUUUAUUACAUCCGCGAAAUGAGAACUACAAUAUAUAUAGAAAAAAUUGUAGUAGUGGUCCGUCAACUUAAUUCCAAUUGGAGCAAUGCUCCAUUAACUAAAAAUCCAUGACCAUUGGUCCUUUAAUUCAUCAAGAUGUGCAGCUAUAGUCCUUUUUGUGAACUCCAUUAGAACUUCCGUCUAAAUGAGUCACAUGCCGCCUACAUAAGGUCGAAUCAAGGGGCAAAUAUGGAAAACUAAAUGAGAAGGAAUUGUCCUUCAACCUUAACCUAAUUGGAGAAAUGGUCCCUCAACUUUAACCUAAUUGGAGCA